UACGUAGGGCGCAAGCGUUGUCCGGAAUUAUUGGGCGUAAAGAGCUCGUAGGCGGCCUGUUACGUCUGCUGUGAAAUCCCGGGGCUUAACCCCGGGCGUGCAGUGGAUACGGGCAGGCUGGAGGCAGGCAGGGGAGAACGGAAUUCCCGGUGUAGCGGUGAAAUGCGCAGAUAUCAGGAGGAACACCGGUGGCGAAGGCGGUUCUCUGGGCCUGUACUGACGCUGAGGAGCGAAAGCGUGGGGAGCGAACAGG
rnacentral:rRNA from 1 species